UUUAGUAGGUAGUGUGAUGCCACCGAAAACUGACCGCGUAUGGGAAGACUAUGUAACAUACUUUUCUGACCCAAAAUAUUCAUACAGACAUAUCGUAAACAUGUGUCCAGAUAAAGGAUUUUGAAUUUACAAGACAAUAUUAUCUCUUGCAUUUAAUCGUACUGGAAAACAAAGGAAUAUGGAUCAAAUCGGAGUACCGGAACCAUCUAGGAAAAGACCUGCAACAAGUCGUACACCACCCAUGAUAAGCAAAGUGCAGCGUCUUAUACAGACAAAGAGCUACCGAUCAGAACACUGGACGCAACACCUAUGGAUUUGUAUGUGAACGGACUGUUGAAACAGGCGCAGGAAAACCGUCGUCCUCAUACAUUGUAUGGAUUAUGAAAAGCACGCAGAAAUUAAUGGUGUGCCUGGACAUGAUAGCUUUUUACAAUAGAAACUACACAACAGGACUGUUGUCAAGAUGCAUGGUCGUCAGAUGGAGCAUGACCGGCGUAGCGACAUGAGUUGAAACGACGAAAUCGCAUUGAACCUCAGUAUAUGAUGCUGCUUAGCCGCGCAAUCGAAACAUUUGAUAUCUUCAGAUAUCAGUCGUUUAAGAUUAAGAAAUACGAUAUUUUUUAGAAGUCCAACUUAUCUAAGCAUAAUGUCUACGGGAAUAUGUAUAUAAUCUAAGUAUAAUGUCUACGGGGAUAUGUAUAUAAUCUAAGUAUAAUGUCUACGGGGAUAUGUAUAUAAUCUAAGUAUAAUGUCUACGGGGAUAUGUAUAUAAUCUAAGUAUAAUGUCUACGGGGAUAUGUAUAUAAUCUAAGUAUAAUGUCUACGGGGAUAUGUAUAUAAAGAAGAUGGUGGUCAAAUUCAAGGUUACAUGAUAAAAACUUGAAUUAGAGUAAUUAAUACUACCUGAAACAAUAACUAUAAAUGCUUUUAAAUAAGAACAUGCAAAGUCUAUGCUUCUGAAAUGAAAUUCAUUAAUAAGAAACUAACAAAAAUUAUAUUACAUUAAAGUUAAAAAUAAAUAGUAUUUCAUUAUCAGGAUUUCCUGGAUGAUUAUUUUCUCUCUUAUUAUAAUUAUUUGUAAGAAACGAGAGCAGCUGAACUGUGAGGUAAACGAAAAGGAUAUGUUUGAUAGAAUUAUCAUGACCAGCGACCUUAUAAACAAACAUAUUUUUUUCUGGUAAGCUUGUUGUUAAGCGCAGAUCUUCCUUUCGUAAGUAUCGAAACCUGAUGUUAAGCCCUCAGACGUACCGCUGAGCCAUCGAUGAAGGGGGAGACUGAAUCCUCAGGUAAACGUCGAAAAAGAAAACAUUUUGCCACGUGCGUGUGUUUGUAUGGCAGUUAUGGCGAUGACUUGCUUUAACACUUCACAUAACGAUGAUCAGUAGAGUUAUCAAAUCUAUUUAUCUGUUACUUUAUCAGUGCUUGAGAGAGGAGGGCAGACGAAGCAGACCGAAAUCAACGAAGUCAUAGAUCAGUGAGGCCAAGAAACGUAUAGAGAAAGUACAUGUCCGCUGGAAAACACCAGUAUUGAGUAUUGACACUGAGUUAAACACAAUCGAAAUUGGUAGCAGGAUGUAGAGGGAAAGGUAAGGACUGGUAAACACGGCCAAAAUCAUGGAAUGGCCAAACGAGCAAAGAUCGACACUGAUAAAAGAAACGCACUCUAUAUAAUAAUAAAGGGUUUCGUUUAGUUUUAUAGAGUUAAUUACAUUAUUUCUCCUCUUUAUUCCAUUUCACUCUCCCCCCCCUUUACAGGAGUAAAAAUAGUUAUACGCCAUCUGUUAAACCUAUAUUCACAUUUACCUACUCCUUAAAUUAAGAAACAAGGUUUCUUAUCUUCUUUAUUCAGUUUAUGUUUUUAUCACUUUUCUGGGGAUUUCUGAAAUGACUAGCAACAUAGAUGCAAGGUUUUUUUUAUUCCCCAAUGGUGUAGUCUGGCAUAAUGGAUGUUGUUGUGAUAAAAGUAUUGUAUAUAACAGAAUCUCGAAAAGCAAAUAAUUUUCAAAAUAAAAAAUAGUUAAUAUUAGAAUUCCAAAGUAUUCUUAAUCUCAAUAUCUGUCACGUGACCUCUCCGAGAUUCAAAAAGUGUAAAUGAAACAUAAUCAGUAACUUUCAGAAGUAUUGAAUAUGAGAAUAGAUAAAAAAUUAUAUUAUAACACUCCAUAACUACAUGCCAGUUAAUAAUGCAUGCUGUAGGGAGCCUCUUAAAAUGUUACUUACAAUUAAUAUGGUAUUUUUAAUGAUUGCUGUAAAAAUAUUCUCAUAUAAAAAAGUUGAAAUGAAAUAUACCAAUUCAAGGACUAGAAACUUUUAUAUUUUAUUUUACUUUUAUAAUGAUAUAAUGCCACUAAACAUUAGGUGUUGGGUUCUGUAAGUUGAAUUUGAAGAAUGGGUGUGAGGGCUGGAGGGGCAUGGAUCAUGAACUGCAUUUGUAUCAGAUUCAAGGGCAUGGUUAUCUUCAUUUUGAAAACUGAUUCAAAAGUGAUCUUUAUGAUCAUUAACUUGGUGUUAGUUUUAUUUGUGUUUAAAAUUGGGUUCGAAAACUUUCAAAAUUUGUAAAUAUGUGAUGCUAAAAUGUGGAUUUUAACUGUGCGUGAAUCAAAGGUGAUGUAGGAUUUUUUAUAUCGGAAAAAAGUAAAAUUACUGUAAAACACGCAGAAAUAUGAUUGAGCUUAAUUACUCUUUGUUGGAAAGAUUAUUUUAGCAAGUUAAUUAGCUAAAUACACGAGUAUAAAACCUAAUCUCCUUCAAAACUUACACAAGUUAUUUAAACAUAUGAUAGAGGAUGACACUUUUCAGUAAACUUACGUGUGACGACAUAGUAAUUGUAGUAUGUUUGAUUGUUUAAAAUACAAAUAAUUUCUGGUCUCGAUCAUACUUAAUCAUACAUUGUUUUCUAUUUGAAUACUAUGUAGAGGUGUUAUAAAACCUGUUGCAUAAGUCUUUCAUAUAUUAAGUACAAAAAUUUAGAAAGUUAGUUGAUAAUAUAUUGAUUUCCAUACUUGUUGUGUAUAUGUUUGACAGUGGGUGCUGCCGACCGGUUGCUUUCCCUCUUUAGUCAACAGUUCCAAAUUAGGGAAGGAGGCAGAUAACUUUAGUAGCUUUGCCAUCAACAGAAAAACACAGUGGACCACCUGGUAAGGUACAACUCUUACAUAGGUGACCUGGUGAGAUUUCCGAAUAGCAUUUAGACUGCUAAAAAGGAAAUGAUGGUACAGAGGUCACAGUGGUGAACUGGAAGAUUAUAGGGUUGUUUGUUUGUUUUGUUGAAUUUCUCGCAAAGCUACUCAAGGGCUAUCACCGCUAGCUGUCCCUAAUUUUGAAAUGAUUGACUAUAGGAAAGGCAAUUUUACAAUGCUCUUAGCCAGAUCUUAGACUACUUUGUACCAACGAAUAGCGGGAUUCACUAUCACAUUAUAGCGCCCCCACGGUUGAAAAGGCGAUCAAGUAGGGAACGGGUUUUGAUCUCGCGACCCGCAGAUUGCGAGUCUAGCGCCCUAACCACCAAGCUGAGAUUGUAGGAAAGAGAGUGGAAGUAGGAAAGUGGAAUGAACCCUAAACUCUAUAGAAGAACAACUGAAUUGGAUUUAGUAACUAGAUUGUUGGAGGGAAGAGGGUUUGUGUCAAACCUCUGAUUGCUUGUUUGUAAUU
rnacentral:lncRNA from 1 species